UCCGGUUUGUCACCGGCAGUCUCAUUAGAGUGCCCUUGCGUAGCAACUAAUGAUAAGGGUUGCGCUCGUUGCGGGACUUAACCCAACAUCUCACGACACGAGCUGACGACAGCCAUGCAGCACCUGUCUCCGGUCCAGCCGAACUGAAGGAUUCCAUCUCUGGAGUCCGCGACCGGGAUGUCAAGGGCUGGUAAGGUUCUGCGCGUUGCGUCGAAUUAAACCACAUGCUCCACCGCUUGUGCGGGCCCCCGUCAGUUCCUUUGAGUUUCAACCUUGCGGCCGUACUCCCCAGGCGGAGAACUUAUCGCGUUAGCUUCGACACUGGGAGGCUUACCCUCUCAACGUCUAGUUCUCAUCGUUUAUGGCGUGGACUAC
rnacentral:misc_RNA from 1 species